UGGAAUAUAUGUUUCGGUACAAUCAAACACCGUGGAUGGAUCGAUUGCAAACUGAACCACAGAUCUUAGGUCAUCCCAAUUCUCAUUGGCAAAUGCGUGGUCCUCAACAUUAUUCUGGUUCCAAAAAUUUGGGUAAGGGGUGGUUGAUGGGGCCUGAAGAUGGGAUAGUGGGCCAAAUUGGCCCAAAAACAAGUGUUUCUUUUCAUCAACUUGUCCAAUAACUGGUUUUCUUUCUAUUUGUUGCAUCAUCAUAGGGUCUCUGCAAAUCAAAUAUGGCUUGCAGCAAUUGUCAGAAUCUAAGGUGGAUGCGUUGGAAUUCACAGGGUUUGGUUUGGUGGCUGGUGUUGAGUCUUUCAAGUUUGGAGCGUAC
rnacentral:lncRNA from 1 species